rnacentral:rRNA from 1 species
UGGGGAAUAUUGCACAAUGGGCGCAAGCCUGAUGCAGCCAUGCCGCGUGUGUGAAGAAGGCCUUCGGGUUGUAAAGCACUUUCAGCGAGGAGGAAGGUGGUGAGCUUAAUACGCUCAUCAAUUGACGUUACUCGCAGAAGAAGCACCGGCUAACUCCGUGCCAGCAGCCGCGGUAAUACGGAGGGUGCAAGCGUUAAUCGGAAUUACUGGGCGUAAAGCGCACGCAGGCGGUUUGUUAAGUCAGAUGUGAAAUCCCCCGGGCUCAACCUGGGAACUGCAUUUGAAACUGGCAAGCUAGAGUCUCGUAGAGGGGGGUAGAAUUCCAGGUGUAGCGGUGAAAUGCGUAGAGAUCUGGAGGAAUACCGGUGGCGAAGGCGGCCCCCCUGGACGAAGACUGACGCUCAGGUGCGAAAGCGUGGGGCAGCAAACAGGAUUAGAUACCCUGGUAGUCCACGCUGUAAACGAUGUCGAUUUGGAGGUUGUGCCCUUGAGGCGUGGNUUCCGGAGCUAACGCGUUAAAUCGACCGCCUGGGGAGUACGGCCGCAAGGUUAAAACU